UUUUUUUUUUUUUUUUGGUUUAUAAGAAAAUUGCCUGGACUCCUCGAACUGUACUCAAUUUUGCUUCCCCACCCACCUCGUGAAUUGUGAUGGGCGACAAUUUGGUGUACAUUUACCUAUCUGCCCUUCAUUUUUUUUUUUUUGACUUUUGUGGAUUUUGGAUGUGCGGGCUUGGGCCCAAGUGCGGAUUCAAUUCGAGUAGCCUGGGUAGGGAGUGUAAGACUUGAUGACGAAAACAAGGGCUUUAAUUAGUAAAGCCCCAAGGGCCUUUCGUAACUGAGUAGUAUUUCUCCUUGUCUCUGGAACCCAUGGGUAACUGGAUAACCUCAAAGAACCAAAUGGUCAUAGAGGGGCUCCAUUAUCAUUGCAUCAGCUUGGAUUGGACCAUGCUGCGUUAACACAUUUACGGUUGGCAGCCCGAUUUUGUAGGUGUACGGAAGAAAGUGUAUAUGAAGUUUAAACUGUGAAAAUAACAAAGAUAUAUUUUUUUUCAAGACUAGUUCAUGCAUUAGCUAGAUGAUGGUAAAGUUUCUAGUUCAAUUCUCAAAUGCUUCUCUCUCUCUCUCUCUCUGACCAAUGAGGGAAAAAAAUGUGUCUUUGAUUAGCCAAUGGUGAAGUUUGUGACAACCAUGAAACUUCUAAUUCGAUUAUCAACUUCUUUUCAUUCUCUCUCGCACCAAUAAAAGAUACAGUAGAUCGCUCGACUCACGACUGUAGUAGGACUAUUCUAGACUCUAAUCGUACCCUUGCCAACAGCCUAUAUCUUUGAUUAACCCUCCAUAUCCAACUACUCUCAGAUUCCCACUCGCAGCUCCAUCUACAUUCAGUUUGAACCAGCUCUCAAGUGGUUUAUGUCAACUUACUAGAUUUUUUUCUUUGACAAUCAUGAAACUUCUAAUUCGAUUUUCAAUUCCUUUUUAUUCUCUCUCGAACCAAUAAAACAUAUAGUAGAUCGCUUAACUCACCAUUGUAGUAGGAUUACUCUAGACCCUAAUAGUACAAAAUUGUAACGAGUAAUCAAGAUCAUCUGACAAGUUAAAAAAACGCACUUUAAUUCGGGCGGAGGAUUUCAAAGUAGCAACCAUAAUACCCUAGUCACAAGCAAAGCUAUCAGCAGACGCCAAUAUCUAAUUUUGUCCUAAGGUACAGCGCAUGAUCCACCAGCUACCAGAAUGGUGAUAUUACUGCAACCACAAGUCCACAACCACAAAAUAUUUUUUUUCAAAGAAAAAAACAGGGAAAAUCUGCGGUACAGUAAAAGGAUUACAGACUUGAGAUGAUGUCUUUAUUGACCGGAUUCCCAUUUUCGUUUUUGAACAGAUUGUGGACAAAGUUUUCCACCAUCACUUGAGACGUGUUUAAAAUUCUUGGGAAGAUAAGAUCGCGUAAGAUUUAGGAAAAAGAAUCGAUAGGACUUUGCAGGAGACAUGGCUGAAUAAUCACGCAUUGCCUUUUGGCUUGUAGCUUCCCUUUGCUCUCUUUUUUUUUUUUUUUUUUUAAUAAUAAUUAUUAUAAAUAGUACGUACCUACCACUACCAGUAAAGAAGCACCAGCGCGGCAUGAGAGAUGUAAUUUUUUUAGGAAUUGGGACCACCAGGCUUUUAGUUAAAAAUAUAUUGACUAUAAGCACCAAAACAGUAGCGAAAAGUAGUGUUUCCAGCUUAUCUUAAUCAUGCAAUUAUCCAUCCAAAUGAACAAUCAAAUACACAAAGCAAAUUUUUGAAGGAUAUCAAAUGCUAUGCUAUAUACACUAUGUUCUGUUAAUGUAUUGAUCAACGGUCGCCAUGACUCCGACGAGGAGAGGAAAAAAAAAUGGAGUGAGCUACGUACUUUUAAUUGUGAGGGUUAGAACAAGCAUGGUAAUGUUCAUGUGGUUGGGAACUUGAAGUCGCCGUCAUUUAAAACUUUCAUCCUUAGAAAACUGAGGUUGUUAAAAUACAGAAACAAUUGGAUAAUUCAUCGGAAGUAAGAAAAUAAUACUACAUAUAUUGAGUUGGCCAAGUGAGGAGUUCUUGACCAUCAACACAUGCUAAACUAAUUAAGAGAAGCUGACCAUAAUUAUGUCCUUAGCUAUCACAUUUUCGGAAGCUUGGGGGACACUUGUGCAAAGAAAAUCACUUAAUUUUAUAGCAACUCACAAGUAACAACGGAGCUAUUGGGUAAAUACCCAAUAUUGUCUCAACAAUUGGAGCAUUCUUGGCACGGUGGUUCAUUCUCUUUUUUCGAAUGUGCUUAGCAGCAAAGUCGCAGAAGAGUCGAUCAAUAACCGUAAUUGGAAUCUUAGCUAGUUAUUUUCUGAUGAAAAGAAAAAUAUAUAUAUAAGGAAAUGCUACGACUAGUGAGAAGUAGUUGUUAUGUUAAUCCAAAGUCAACACAUGCUGCUUAAUCAUUUCUCCUCCUGUUAAUUUAAAUUAGACACGACUUUAGAAUAGAAACUGGAGUCUCCUCCCCCCCCAAACAAAAAAACACCAUUUUUUGGCAUAAGUGACGGGUUUUGGAUUCAAAAUCUCUUACUUAUAAUACUUUUAUCUUACCACCUAAUCUAAGCCUCUCCUUUGUUCCCAUUAUUUUGCAAGAAUUUCAGCGCCUUUAAGCCAAUGGGAUGAAAAUUAAUCAUGCUCUAACAAACACACAGGAGAGCUUGUUGGGCUUUUUCUAAAGCUCUCGGUAGGUAAACUGAGGCGCGACAGCAAAUAAUUCUAAUUCUAUAUAAGCAAAACUGAGAGUAACGAAUAGGGGAGUGGGCCAAUUUUCGUCCAAUUUAUUGGACACCGAUUCUCUAACGAGACUUGAAAAGGAUGAGCUUGAAGUCAUGCCAAAACCCAAUUUGGAAUUUUUGUACAAGAAAACUCUCACACACGCUUUGCAAGAAAAAAAUAGAGAAGAAAAGAACAGACAAAUUCUUCUUGUAAAUUAUGCUCCUAGUACUGUAAUGAAAAGUCUUUAUUAGAGUCGUUAUUUGGAUUUUGAAACAUCUGGAUGGACCGUGUAUAGUCUAAGUUCACCUACUCCUGAUGAAAUGAUUUGCCCUUUAGCAUGACUUAAUUAGUAGAUUAUGAUCUCAAAAUGACCCCACAUAUUAGUUGUAUGCACAUGACUCCAUGUAAUGUUAAUUAGAAACAAAAGAAAAGAAAGUUUAAAAAAAAAAAAAGAAGAAGAAGAUUUUGCCUUUUUGAAGCAUAUAGAAGAGAAAAGUGCUCGCAGCAUUAUUGUUUCAUUAGUUGAUUCCCAAUUAAUGAAAUUUGGAAUGUGUAGAAAAAGGACAAAUUUCAACUUUUGUUUCCUGACAUGUUAUCCAUCUGAGUGACGACGACGAGAAAUAAGUGGGCUAAUACGUAGAAGUAUCUUGACAAUAAUAUCACCAUGAUUUGGAGUGCAGAUGUGUCUGGAUAAGAAUUAUUUGUCAAAAAUUUAUUUGUUUGAAUCACCAUAAACAUAUGUUUUAACACACUGUUUUAUCUAAUCAAUUAUUUUUUUAUCUCACACACAGUACAUCGCAUACAUCAUCAUAUAUUAUUUUAUAUUAGUUUAUAAUAAUUAAGAUUUACCCAUUCUAAAGAAAUUAUUGUAAAGCGAAAGAUAACGAAAAUUUUGACUUUUAGGAUCGAAAUCAACGACCAUGGCCACAAACAAAGAACAGCUUUUCAGCUGUAGGCAUCCAUCGAUAACGUAGUAUAAUUUUCAUAACGCCAUUUAAAAUAUCGAGCAAUAAUUUACAACACCAAGUAACGAGAAGCGUCAAAUCCACAGUUUUUGAACACUCGACAAACCCACUCAAGCUACAGUAACCACGCGUGCAAACUGGUAAAUCGGUGCAGACUUCCUAGUACAGGAGGGAUCCCAUGUAAACAACCCCCAAGUACAAUGUCACAUGUCGAAGAAAGCAUUUAUUAUCCUAGCAAUUUUCUAUCUCUAUCCACCCCAACCGAAAAAAAAGGUACACAAAGACCAGAUUAAAAAAAGUUCAUGAAGUAUUAUGUAUGACGGACGGCUUAGUGACCGAUCAAGACCUUAUCAAGAACAUCAAGGAAGAGCUUAUGUGCAGUGAGCUGAGGAACAUGGCCGUCGGUGGUAGCGAUAAUCUCGAUGGUUGAUGGUCCUUUGAUUUUGUUCUGCAUGAAGAUUGGGACAGAAUCUGGGACGGCGAGAUCCCUUGCCGUGUGAAUAAUGGUACAUGGGGCCGUAACCUUUUCAAGAAUGGCCCUGUGGUCACUGAGGAAAACAGUUUUGGCCAAGGGAAGUGCGGUUUUAUAUCCCAUUCGUUUCAAGGUUCCUGCGAAUUUUUCGACCGAGGGAGGAUCGUUGUUGUCUACCACAACUGAUGCGAAGCUGGUUGCCCACUGGUCGUAGUUGGACUCGAUGCUAGCAAAGAUCUGUUCAACGUGGGAGAUCUCGAAUCCUCCUUCGUAGUCUUCUGAGUUUAUGAACCUUAAACGGAAGGGGGGAAAAAAACAAGGUAGAGUGUCAUACGUACGUGAAAGAAUUUUGUGUACAAAUAAAUAUUAUAGAAUUUGUGUAGGUGAUACAAGUGGCUAGACCUUAUCCUUAUUAUGCUUCAUUGAUUGAGGAAGAGGGUAAGGAGGAUAUGGUGAGGACAAAAUUCUAAAAAUAAAGUGAAGUAAAGUAUGCAUGAUUCCAGGAUCCGACAUGAUUUGUGAUGCUAUUUCGGUAAUAGGUGCUCGCUAUAGUACAAAAAGAGGUGUAUGUCCCUUCACAUGCUUACCCCUAUUAUGAGCUUCAGUUUUUUUCUGUUUUAAAUAAAACAAAAAAUAAAAAAAAAAACAAAGGCGACAACAAAUGGGAUACAAAAUUUAAUAAGGUAUAUACACGAGAAAAGCGGAAAAAGCAAAAAGCAAAAGGGAAUGAUAAUUUGAAGGUGACUGAAUCAGACGGAUAAAUUAUGCAUUCAUUGGUGGUGCUGCCCAAUAAACCUUAAUGCAUGCAUUGGUGGUAGCUACACCCCAAAGCUGGUGAUUGCAAAAGGGAACGGAGGGAGAAUUUUCAAGGUUCACUGACACGGUGUCAACUCAAGCGGAUGUUUAAUCCAGAUAAAUCCAUGACAUCACAAUCUACGAUUUUAGUCUACGGAGAGGAAAUUAUAUAGCUAAUUCGUCAGCAGGAAAUUCAUCACAAUCUAUAGUAAUCCUGUUUGGAUUACAAAUUCAUCAACAGAAAAAUACGGUCCAAACCCUGUUUGGAUUUUGUAUUUUUUAGGGGAAAAAAUUUUCACAUGUGUUUUGUGAAUAUUUUUUUAAUAUAUUUUUCAAUUAUAUUUUUACCUAUAUACAUCACAUCAUAAAAAUGUUACAGUAAUCUUUUCUUAAAAAAAAUUCUUUAGAAAGUGCAAUCCAAACAAAAUCCUAAAAGUUUUUGCAAUCAAUUUGUUGAUCUCCUUUGAAAAAAAAGGGGAAAAAAACUUUUUCCUUUGUCAAAAAAUCUUAUAAAAACCAGCUUUUUUUUUUUUUAGCCACCAUAAAAAAAAUUUUCUAAAAAGGCCGAAAGUUGUCCUGUUUUGCAGCUUUCCAAGUGCCUGAUCACAAUCUCAAAUUGUGACCACUGACGCCCCCUCUACAACCGGCCAAUCUCUUCCAUAGCAAAGACAAAAAAGAAGUACAGGACGCACGCACAACCACAUCAAAGUUUAUGGGAAGCACCCGAAUAUUCAGGAAACUAGAUUAAAAUUCUGCAGGAAGGGGGCAGAUCAAUAAAAGCAUAUGGAGAAUAAGUACCAGCGCAAAAAUAAAUAAAUAAAUAAAUAGAAAAAGCUUCCUCGUGCACUAGAUUUUAUGAAAUUUGUGACUAUAUUAUCAGACUUUUGAAAAGGUUCAACUUCAACUGAUCGAACAUGAUCCAUUUAUGAUUGAAAUAAAAGCUACUUUUUAACCCAAAAAAAAAUUUCUAGCAGGGGGACUGGGGAUGCAUCGGAAGAGGAGACUACGACGCAGAAGUAGGAAAUGGAAAGAGAAAAGAAACGAUAAAAAAAACUUCAACUAUUCUUGAAAAGACAAUAAACAAAACCCUCAAGUUCAACCACUGUCUUGCUAUCCCUGUAAUAUCUAUGUAAUAACAGUAGUAGUUUGUAUUUACUGAAACUUGGAAGUACCUUGGAGAAGAUGCAACAAGUACCAGCCUGCUGAAUAAGUCGGGCCUCUUGACUGAAGCAAUGCAUCCAAUCAUGCCAGACAUGGAGUGUCCAACAAAGACUGAAGAUUUUAAGUUCAUUUCUUCCACGAGAGCUAUUAUAUCAUCGGCAAAAGCAUCAUAUGAAGAAUACUUAACUGCGUCAAAGAGGUUUAGAUCUUUGACGGCACCUGAGAAACUCCAGUCAAAAACCAAAACUUGGUGAAACUGAGCCAGCGAGGGCACCACUUUGUCCCAGACCGAAUGGUCUCCCCCGUAGCCAUGCGCAAGAAUUAUGGUUUCUUUUCCAGAACCAAUUAGUCUUGCGUUCAUGGCUGUGGACAUAGAUUUUGGCGUGACCAUGCUGCCUUUUCUGAGCUUUUUGCAGGAGGAAAGGUAGUAGAAUUGGUUGGGCAAGAAGGAGAGAAGCUGAUGGAACGGUGUCUUGAAUGCUUUUUUUUUUUACUAAUGUUAAUGUAUAUGUUUUUCUAGUCCUUUGUCUGUCUUAUAUAGGCAACAGGAGGAGUCUUGGACAAAUAAAUCAAAAGCAUUUAGCCCUAAUAAUUUAAAAAAAGUUCCGUAAAUUAACAUUGUUGGGGUAAUUGAUGAUUUUGUACUUAUCCUUAACUAUUCUGGAGGAAGACAAACAAUACUUUUUGAGAAGGUGAUAAAAUAACAUAUUAUCGCAAGCCUAACAUCAUCAUUGCUCAUGCUUAAAUGUCGGGUGCAGGGCUAUGAGUUCCCCAAUUUGCUAAAAUUAGAGAGCCAAGUCCGUUUCACUCUAGAAGGUUUUUUUUUUUUUUUUUAAAUAUAAGUAAGACAGUUCAAACUCAAAAUCUUUCACUUACGUUCUCUCUUUCGGACCAUCCAAAUCAUCCCUCCCCCUUCACUCCAAAAGGUUUGCGAAAUUACUAAACUACAAUAUUUUUAGGAUAGUUAUUGGGCACUCUUCAAGUAUUGGAUUUUUUUAAAGGUAACAUUAAUUAGAGAAAAUAUCUAAAUGCAUGAAAAUAUAAUAAUUACUGGUAUGUAUAUAUACAAGAUAUGUUUGAUAGGCUAGAUAGAGUUUAAAUGGGUUAACGAGGGCCUUUGUUAGAAAAAUCAUAUUUUAUAAAGUCACAUCACCUUCUUUUUUUUCCCCUUUUCUUAAGAAUAAAUUCACAUAAGAUUCUAAGAAUCUUAAUGCUGUAUCACUGGAUAUAUAAUGGUCUAGUUAGCAUUAAUUGAUUGACGUUUUUUGUUAAGCACUUUGUGAAGAAACAGGCCAUACAAGAUCAACUAUUAGUGUGACAUCUGCAUUAUAUUAAUAUUGUUGUUCAUUGCUUAUCUUUCUUGAGUUAAACUAACAAUUUUUUUUUUUACUUGGGUGUAGGUCAAGUAAUCAAAUCAUUUGACUUGUAUUCAAAAAUCCAAAUUUUUUUGAAAAUUUUGCCAGCAAGUGCGGCACUCUUUUGAGUUGGUGGUGGUUCAAUCUCCUCCCAGUCCCUUUGGUCUCUUUAGAUCCCCCUCCCUCUAGUGUAAAGUAGGAGUAAAUGUAGAAUAUAUUUUAUUAUAUCCAGAAAAAAAAAAAGAAGGAAAAGUUCUAGGACAGUUAUUGUAUAAUGGGUCAUUGACCCUCCUUAGAGUAAAAAAGAAAACGGAAAAGAAACCUUCCACAAAACUGAUACGAUACGUUCCUAAUGAAAUUUCGUCAAGAAUCAACCACAAUAAUAUAAAUUGAGACUAAAAAAAAAAAAGUUUAAUGGUCGGGCAACAAAUCAAUAAAUUUGUUGAAUUUAAAAAAAAAUGUUUUUCUCAUAAUUGUGUCAAACUCAUGAUUGUAAAUCAAGCGAACGAUUUCACUUUAUCUGGUUUUGGCUCAUGUAGAUGCGAAGGAGACAAUUGCGCCACAAUGCCCGCGUUGGAUAAAUUGGGUUUGACUGAUUAAUACUUGAAAAUUGUAGGAACAUGGGAUUUUUGGGCGGUUGGGAUCAUUAAAUGUUUUUGGCCCCUCGGAUAUAUAGUUGAAAUUUUUUUUUUUUUUGGAGGGUGAUAUAUAGUUGAAACUUGAAAACCUUCCGAAAGAAAGUAAUGGCAUGCUAAGGAGAACCGCGUCCUUCAUAAGGCUGUCCCUAUCCUAACCCCCCAAAAAUUUUGAGAUUCAUCUUCUUUUCCCCAAAGGUUUUCCGGACUUUCAUAUAAACCAGGUCUCUGGUUUUAUGGCUACCGAAUACCAAUCUGCAAUGUUUUGACCAAAAAAAAAAAAAAAAAAACCAAUCUGCAAUGAUUAAAGUGGAUCAGACCAAGAUCGGCGCUUAGAUCUUAAGGUUCUGUUUGAUAAUCUAAUUCAACAUUUAAAUUUAAUAAAUUCAGAUCUUAAUAUAUUCAAAUUAUUUGAUAAUAAAAAAUUGAACAUAUGAAUUAAUUAAGUGGUAUUGAAUUUUUUAGGCAAAACUUGCGCUCAAAAUUAAGUGAUAAGCUAUUCACUUAUCAUUGAAUGUUAUAUGCACUCAAAUGUAUUAAAUUUAAUAAUUGACAAUUUAAUAAGUUAAUUGAUUCAUACUUUAUAUAUUAGAUUUCAGAUUUCAAUUUUAUCAAAUGCACCCUAAGUCUUUUAUUCCUGAAUGCAAUCCACUUCUCUGAUCCAAUUUUUGUUCGCGUCAGUUCUGCCACAGAUCCACUUGUACAUUUAGUACAAGUUUAUUCUUUGUACAAUUGUACCCCAAAGCCUUAGGUCUUACUUCAUCAAAUAAUCUCAUUUCAUUUAACAAACUAUUCCAAUAAUAAUAUUUUCGCCCAACCAAUAUUUCACUAUAACAAUACUAUUAGUUUGUCCCAACAUCAACAUCUAAAAACACUAAAAGUAUGCGAAAUUGGCAAUGAUACGGAGAGAGGAUACAGUGUUUUAUGAAUAAUAAAAAAAAAUUAUCCAAGCAAACCCGCUCAUUUCGCGCAUUGUUUAAAACUAAUUAAGUUGCAAUAUCAGAUAAUAGCUUCUCCUGAAUUAGAGAUUUGGUAUAAUUCACUUUAAAAUUCCUUAAUAUUGAAAAGGGUAUCUUUUAGCAUUUUCGAGUAGCACAUCCAAAAGUGUAAAAUCAGCACUAUAUAUUCUCUAGCGGUGAAUAAUUAUUGAUUUUUAAUACUGCCAAGUUCAAUACUCUUGUAGGCCUCAAUAAGAAGGUAAAAAGAAUAUGCCGUGUCCAAAUAUGAUUUGAAUUGGACAACUUUGAUUGUGGUCCAUAAGAAUGGGAUACUCAUAAAGAUGAUCGAAGAUGAGAAACUGAAAAAGGACGUAGUAGUAAAUAUAAGAGGCGGGAAUUGGUCAAGGAUGGAUUUAGCUAAUUGGGAAGAAGGCCAAAACCCAACAGAAGAAAGGACAGCCACCACCACAUGCUAUAUUUUUUUUUUCAACAGAAGAAAGGACAGCCACCACCACAUGCUAUAUUUUUUUUUUCGAAAAAAAAGGCCUCUCUCUCAGCAGUCAGCAAUCAGCAUGGUGAGGUGUCUACAGCGCUACUGUCCCUGUUGUUCCAUCAUCCGAUGACUUUAUCGCAUAUAGUAAUUGUAAAUUUUUUAAGUAAAACUGCAAAAGGUACUUUUUGUCGUCUUCUGCUUGACUGUGUGUACUGUGUGUCUGCGGGUCUGCCAAGUCGUUGAUAAUUCCAACGCCCAACUUUUUUCAUUUACUAUUCCUGCACCGCUGCCCCCACCCCUCGGUCCCACCAUGUUGUCAUUGCUUCAUCAGAGAUAAGUCGCUUUCAACGGAGAGAGAUAGAAGCUACCCAGUAUGAUUAACACCCCACCAACUAAUUACUAUUAUUAUUUUAAUCGAAAUAAAAAAAUAAUUAAAAAAUAUAUUGAUAAUAUAAAUAAAUAAAAUUGUGCAAAUAAUAACUCAUUAUACAAACAAACUCAACUAGUAGUUAAUAAGUCUGGAUGGAGUAUUAUCUGAAAUAUUAUUUGGAAUAAUUAUUGUAGCACUUUUUGUGAUUUGAUGUAUGUGAGAUAAAAAGUAGUUGAGAAUAUAUAAAAGUGGAUUGAAAAAUAUAUUUAUGAUGCAAGCGAAAUAUUAUUUGAGAUAAAUUUGCAAUCCAAACACACUCAGUAUUUUUCUUAACUCCCCUCCCCCCAACCAUUUUUCUUUUCGGCGCGUGCGAUGUUACUAGAAAUAGUAUGAUACUAAAAAGGAUAUUUUUCUUUGGUACCUUGUAUCAUAAUUAAAAAUUCGAGAUAACCUUGCAAUUGCCCUUCAGAAAAUAAAGAAAGAAAAUGUACACCCUUUCCUUUUAGAAAAUCAACUAUCAGCCUACCUAAGUUUAUAUACGGGGAAGAAAAAAAAACUAACUAAUUUUAACAUAAUAACUAAAUACAUGUAAAACAAACAAAAGCAACAAUACGAAUUGCCUUGCAUAAUUGUAUAGAUACACACUUUGCAGAAGGACACAGCGUUUAGAUGCAUUCCUAAAGACAGACAGACAAAUAUAUAGUCCUCAUGCUUUGAGAAAUCUAGUAGAUGCAGAUCUUUAAAGGAAUUUGCUUCCCUCAUUUUGUACUUAUAACUUAAGUUUGUUCAAUAUAAAGUCCCUUUUAUUACAAAAAAAAAAAAAGAUGAACAGACAAAUAAGAACACACCGCAUAACGCAUAUAGUAACAAAGAGAUCCAUAUCGCCAUAUGGUUCUUUUUUUUUUUUUUUAAUAUCGAUAUCGCCAUAUGGUUCUUUAAAAAAAAAAAAAAAAAAAAAAGAACCAAGUAUAUGAUCUAGUGUAUGCUUUUACACAUAUGAUCAUAUGACUUCACUGUAGCCGGCAAGCUUAAUUCUUUACGCCCACACCUAGGCUAUGUCCAAAGUUCCGUGCAAGCCAAUUCAGCAAUUCUCACUCCAUUUGUUUCGAAAAAGCAAAAAGCUAUUUAUAUGAUACAAAUAAGGGAUAAUUUCAUAAACCUCCCCUGAGGUUUUAUGAAAUAUCACCUAGCUCCCUUGAAAUUUUCAAAAUCUCACUUAGCACCCCUUGAAUUGACAUUUUGGUAACAUUGGAAGUCCUUCUAACCAAAAGUAAUAUUAAAAAAUUCAUGUUUGAGGAGAGAGAUUAUUUUAGUGCCUUUAAUACCCUUAAGCUAUAAAAAAAUGAACAUUUUACUAACUAAGAAAAAAAAAGUACUAAAUUGGAACCAUCUUAAAAGUGAGGAGAUGAAAAUUGGUAAGGUUUUAUAUUACAACCAGUAGUCACUUCUACAGUAGGAAGAUAUUGUAAAAGUAAAUGCUAUUUUUUAAACCAUUUCUACAAAUAGAACCCUUCACAGCGUUGAAGGUAAUUAGCAUGUAAAAUCAUACAUUUGAGCAAAAAAAACUUAGUAAUAGAUGAAAUUCAACUUCAAUAUUAUAUAAAAAAUUUACUCAAAAUAUACAGACUUUUUUUAUGGGUGUGAAAUAUGAAAUUUUAUUAUAGAAAAAGUCAGAAUUUGAAAAACUGUCAGAGUUUCAAUUACUUUAUUUCUCUUGCGCUAUGCAUGAAUAGAAAUAAAUAAAUAAAUAAAUAAAGUUGUGAAACACCAAAAAAGGAAAAAAAAUAAAAAGAACCUGCAGCUAUUCUUCUCCAAAUGCAUUGAAUAUUUCAUUAAUUAAAUCCUAUAUCUCAUUGGCAUUUGCAAUUCAAUUAUACAUAUAUAUAUGUAUGUAUGUAUGUAUGUUUGUAUAGACAUUGUUAAAGAAAAGUAGAAAAUUUAGAGAAAGAAAAACAAGUUUAGAAAAUUUAAAUAUGAGGGUAUUAUUGAUAAUUCAUUACCUUUGAUAUUAGUAUAUGGUCCUACUAUCACUUCAAGGGUGCUAAGUGAGAUUUUAAAAUGUUUAGGGGAGCUAGGUGAUAUUUCAUGAAACCUCAAGGGAGGUUUCUGAAAUCAUCCCUACAAAUAAAGUAUUCGUAUAAACACGCCGUUGCCUGCCCAAUAGCUCCUGAUCGUGGUCCAGUGCUGGAUGAGAAGGAUAUGCAAUAAAUUGAAGUUGGAACUUUUUGAUUUCAAUAACCUUGUGCUGAAAAGAAUAGCAUAUAUUGGUGAUCCAUGGUCAAGUGGUGCAACUCCAAAGUUUAAUUAAUAAGAUAAGUUUGUCAGAAAAGCUGACGAAUUAAUUGUUUAUAUCCAAUAAGGAUGAAGAAAAGUCGCUUAAAACAGAUUCGUCCCAGGCUCAAAGACAUCUCAGAAGGAGGACAAGAAUGAAAAGUUCACUUCACAACAUAAUAAUACUCUUGCUGCUUGUGAAUUACACGUGUAACAAGAAUCUCAUACUCAUUCAUGGAGCCGAAAGGUUUCUUUAGGGGGUGUCCGGAUCAAUUCUUACGGGGCCCGACUAAACCUCCUGCGCUCUGGGAGAGGAGGCCCCACUCCACAUCGAAGACAUAAGCCACGGAACUCGAACCCUGAUUGCCAAGUAAGUGGCUAUACCCUAAAGAAGGGGAGCGCACCGUCCGAGCUACCCCGUGGGGGCUGAGUCGAAAGGUUUUCAAGAAGAAGGUUUUUAUUGUUUUUAUCUUCGAUCUUCAAAAACAAAAGGGUCGGAAAUUUCCAAAUGGCCAAGUCACAUGUAUCAGGUUCAAUUUACAAAGAAUUUCCAGGUUAAAUUUGUUGAAGAAAAAGCUAGACAAAUCCAAAAAGAUAAAAAGGACCAAGAAAGAGUUGUCAAGCUAAUCCAUCAUAUGUGGCUUUUUUCGUGAGGAGACUGAGAGGGUCACGAUCUGCAGAGACUCUAACCGUGAUGAUAAAGAAAUGCAAUUAAUUGGAAAAACCAUUUUUCUUAUUGUGUAAAUCGAAUAGUGAAGUGGGAAAAUGAUACUCUAACAAACCCUUAUAGGCUACCGAAUUUUCAUGGCUAAUUACAUACUUUUACCGCGAGGUGCUAUUAACCAACCAUCAUGAGCAAAUUAGAGAACGAAAGCAAAAGGUUGAAGGCCUAGCAAAUUAUCUUAACUUAUUUGUUCCCUCAAAAAAAAAAAUCUUAUUUAUCCAUCUGGUUGGUGGUCAUGAUGCCCGUGCUUGAAGGCCUAGCACGAUUGGACCCGAUGUCCAGUCAUCAAUGACUGAUGAAUGAAACUUUUGUCGACAGAUCAGCAACCCACGACCGAGUUGAUUCGUCGUGAUUUUGCGGCUCGAUAUGUUACUGUCUAUGGUCUUUAAUUUGACUGUAACUCUUUGCCAGUCAAAACCAAGAACAUUAACACACUGUAGACAGUAAUAUCACUUCUACCUAUACCUGCUCUAUGAAAUAGGAGCAGCAAAUAAUUGAUGAAACAGAUAAAUUACGCAAGUUAUAGUCAUAUAAGUUAUAAUGACGUGUAGUGUCAUUAUAAAAGAAAAAAGAAAAAAGUGACGAUGAGUAAUGUACAAUGGUAUAAGAAAAUCUAUAUAAUUAUUUGGAUUCACAUAUAGCAAAGCUCUACAAAUAAACCCAUAAACGAAGUCUACACAAAUAUUUGCCUUCACCCGGCAAUAAAGGCUGCUUUAGCCUUUAAAGCUAUAUGACUUCAAAUGCAUUGCAUAUUUCCUUAAUGCAUUUCCCCUGCUGAUCGAGGCAGACAAAUUAAGAGCAUUAAUAAUAGGUAAAGAUCUUGUUGGUAGAAAGGCCACCCUUCGCCGGGGCCGCAAAAGGAUUCUUCACAAUUUCAAAGAUGAAACACUGAUUGUCCAUAACCACAGAUUUAAAAUGUCAAAAAGGUUGGAAAUCAUUGUCCAUGAAUUGUACAAUACAGCGUCUCUAUCUGCUACAUAUACGCCCCACACAACUUUAGAGCAUGCACGGCCAUUGCCGGCUCUUGUGUGAUCCAUAUCAUUUUAUUUAGUAUGUUAGAUUUUCUGAAAUAGCUUAGCAUUAAUGGUUGGUUAUAACUCGUUCCAGGUGUUAUGAGAACGUGAAAAUGAAUACUAUCAACAACUCUGCAAGACAACCACCUUGAAAAUUGCAAAUCAUAAUUAGUUUCUAAUUUCAAGUAAAGGGAAGAUAAUGGUUCGCUUUCAUUCGUGUCAUUUCAUCUACUCCCUCCAUCCCACUUUGAUAGUCUUGAUUUUUUUUUUCACACAGUUUAAGAAAAAAUAGUUAAUUUUGUUGGAACAAUCAAUUUAGGUAGAUAUUUUCCUAAAAUACCCUCACAUUAAUUAGAGUACAACUUUAUGGGAACUUGAAUUGAUAGUAAAAAAAGAAUCAACUCUCAUUAAAUGGGGUAGGUUUAUAGUAACAACAACUUACAUUGAAUAAGGGUAUUUUAGGAAAAUUAAAAUACAAUUACAUUCUUCAAUUGAAAAGUGGACUAUAAUUUGGGAUAAACAAAAAAGGAAAACAAGACUAUCAAAGUGGGACGGAUGGAGUAGUAGUUGCAUUGCAUAAAUUCUUGGUAAUGAUGAGAUACUCUUAAGUAUCUAGAUUUUGCACGUUACUACUACUACUACUAUCUUGGUACAAAUUAACUAUGAAGAUUUAAGACUCGCCUCGGUCUUUUGCCAUUUUAAGAAGCUGAACCCUAAACUUUCUGUAAAAUUUGGCAACGUCCGAGUAAAGAGCCACCUCUGUUUAGGCUUUCUUCACCGGGAAAAAAAGCAGUACUACUACAGAGUAUAGACCCAAUGCAUGCAAGGAUGACUUUCUUGUUUAGUGAACAACUCGACGUAGAGAGUGCCAUCUACCUAAAUAAAUCAUGCAAAAAAAAUAAGAAUCUUGGUUUCCUAUCUUUUGCCAAUAGAAAAAUGAAAAAAGAAAGGAUGGAGACAAAAAUUGACCCCAUGAAAGCUCAUAAUUCUCAUCUUCCCACUAGUUGGGAAAAAUCGAGUCGAAACGAGAUCUUGUUUCAUCCAAUUUGCACGCGUUAACCACGUAAUGUGUGAAGUUACUCCUGUACAAAAAAAAAAAAAAAGCAUAAUGUGUGAAUGUCUGGUUUCUGUUCUCUUAUUCCUAGAAAAUUAUCCUUUAUUACAUUCUUUAUUUUUAGUUACUUUGUAGUUACUAAACAAAAGGGAAAAUCACAUUUCUUAAAUUAGGAUUUUUGUUUCCCACAAUACCACCUGUUUUAAAGAUUGCAGAGACUUAACAUUUUUGGUAACUGUAAUUACGACUUAACAUUUUAUAAACAAAUGCCCACGAAUUUUAUAAAGAUUGCUGCCACCAUCCUUCCUUGGAAAAGCCGAAAAGGCACAAUUACUACUACUAUUAAACAUUUUGACCCAAAAAAAAAAAAAAAAACUACUACUAUUAAACACGAGAUUUUUCUAAUGGCUUUAAUAUUUGUAGUUGAGAAUUUUGGUCCCAACGAAAAUAUUUAAGGCUCAUUAUUGCCGUUUUGUCAACAGUUGUAGGUAUAGGGUGGUGAUGAUCACAGUCACACACACCAUUCUCUUUUUUCUUUCUUGAUUUUGGGUCAAAACGCACGUGAGAGACACAAGGAGUCGUCAAGAUUUAUCUUUCUUUGGUGGCUUUCGUGGGUUUUUUUUUUUAAAAAAAAAUAAAUAAAUAUAUGGGUUCCAAAAAAAAAUCUAGGGAAAAAAAAAGGCCAACCGUGUUUGAUAGGAUUGGGGUGGAUGGUCCAAGUCAUUACUCUGAUAUAGCUCAACGUGGAGGGGGAAAAGAUAAGAGUAAACGUACAUAUAAAAUGAUGGAAAUAACACAUAUUGUCGUUCAAUUGUAUGCAGAUAAUGUGCACAAAUGUAUUGAUCGGAUCUUGUUUGAUAUCAUCCAUCAGCUUAUCCUUCACAAACAGAGAUAUUUUCGUGGAAAGCUCUCUUGAGCUCUGUAUCUCCUUUUAUUUUCUCCUUUAUUUUCUCUGUCAUUUCUUCCAUUUCCUUUAACUUGAGUCCAAAAAUUGGAUAUACAGUAAUUCUCCUAUUAUGAAUAUAACCGAAAGAAAUUUAAAAGCAUAGGGUGAAUGACAAGGAUCUCUAUCUCUGAACAUUGCAUGGAGUUGCCACAACCCAAAUUCUUGUGCGAAGAAACCCCAAAAAAAAAAAAAAAAGGGUUAUCAGCCAGAGAGAUUAGCCCUACACUCGAACUGAAGUUUGCUUUAAUUAUUUUUUGUUUUCUGGUUAUUCAUUUCAACAUUUGGUUAAGGAUAAUUAAUAUGCAGACAAAUAGAUAAUAAUACUACGGGGGCUUUGUUCCUGCAGCCCGAGACUCUCGUACAUCCAUUUACUGAUCCCUAAAAGGUGAACGGAUUUGUUUUGGGUCCUCGGAAUUAAAUAGGAUCGAUCCUCAAAAUCCUAAAUAUGCUACUGCUGAUAACCUUUUUGAUGAGACGACAGAAGAUAUGUGGCCACUUCGAAUUCCCCGAAGGCAGAGAAUACCAAUAAUUUAAGAACGUUAACAGCUGGAUAGCGGACACGGCAACACUCGACAGGUUGAAGAUACAGACAUUUUUGGUGGAAAUUUAAAGGAUAGUAGCGAUGCUAUAUUAUUAUUUGCAUCACCAAACAGGCGUGUUCAAUAAAUUUGCGUGGGGCUUUUGUCACGUAUGAGCAAACAUUAGCCAUAUAUCCAUCUUUUGCCAUAUAUCUAUCUUUUGCUAUGGCCCUUCCUCUGCAGCUAAACUUGUACAAUGCCGGAUUUGACCAAACAUGGUACUGUAUUAACUGCUGAUGUUGGAAUAUCACCAACCCUCCAACUCCGAAUCAAAUGCUAAAAGGGCAAAAGCAUUUGAUAACUUGUAGUACUAAGCUUAGUAGCUUGCAACUUCGCCUUUCAUGGUGUUUCUUAUCUAUCCGCUGUAGGUUGUACCAGAGAGUCUUUAUCUGAAGAAGUAACCCUCUUGUUUACCUACUUAUACCUGCUCAGGGAAUAUAUAUAUACCAACAAAAAGGGAUAAGACGCAAGUUGCAGAAAAUUAUUAAUGAAUGCUCGUAUAACAUGAGAGAGAUUUUUCUACUUACCUAUGCAGGGGUAAGUUGUGGAACAUCCACCAAACGCUCCAUCUCUUGCAGCUGGUCAUAGGGAGCUAUCUGCACAGCAUAAACAAAAGUAACUCAAACUCAAGUCGGGAGCACCAGCAUCACAAACGGGCACUGCAAUAGUACAUAGAAGUAUAAACCUGCAUUAACCUACUCCUAACCAAAGCUUGUGUUGUCAAAUUCACUAGGAUGUUAGACAUCAAUAAUAUUAAGGUAUCCAAUUUUCCCACCAUAAAUAUAUGAAUCAUACUUUGCUAUUGCAACUCUGACAUGCAGCAUCAUUCAACUCUGCCUGAUUUUAGCAUCAUUCAAAAUUCGGGCCACGGUCUUCUGAUUUGCAAAAUGUGUGGAAACUACACGUCCUUGAACCAAAACAACUUAAAUUUUCUCUAUUAUCAUCAUUUUGCCGGGAAGAUAGAAUUAACGGGAUAGGGUCUCCUUAGAAUGUUAUUUCAAAUAUAUUGAUGUAGUUAAAUCAGAUAGUCCAAACACCUGGCUAAAUCCAUCAGGCCAAGUUAUCGAAACAGCAUAAUUUCCCAUAGGCCGAAUUUCUUCAGGUUCAAUGUCUUCUGGAAUAUCAGUAUACUGUAGUUUCUGCUCUCCAGUCCAUUCAUCCUGUGGCCAUCAAUGGCAAACGAAACACUAGUUAAAAUUUCAGUAAUGGAGGAGACUGACAAAUAGAAAAUUGUUGUGGGAGAUGAAUUAUUGAUUAUAAAAACAAACGAUGAGCGUGUCAAGCUCUCUCUCUCUCACUUUCUGAUAAAGUUGCUUUUUGUUUGCAUCAUCAGGACUAAAAUACUGUGACAUUCCUUUCCUUCUCGCUGUCCAAAAAGAAACUCUGUGUUUGCUUUCAUCAGAGCAUCACCAGAAUUAAAAUAUCACCACAGUUCCUUUCGGCUAGGUUUCAAAAAAUUAACCAACUUGUUCACAUAGUAUCAUUAGGAUCUAAAAUGCUAAGAAAGUUGCUUUCAGCUUCACUAGCCAAAAAGUAGUUUUUGGUUUGCUUUCUAACAGAAUAAAUAAAAUACUAUUCAAGUCCCUUUCGCCUUCUCUGUCCGGAAAGUAACACUUUGUUUCCUUUGUAUUAUCAGUACCUAAAAUAAUGGAAUAAGGAUAUAGGAUUCCUUGUGUAUAUCCAUCUUCCCUAUCUCCUGGCUAAGCUGGCCAUUACCCAUCAAAAAAUAUCAAAGAAGUUACUUUCUACACCUUAUUAUACACCUGUCCUAAAUCAGAAAUCUUCUUUCCGUUUGACUUUUUAAGACUUGUGAGAACUUGAAUACACAAUUCCUACUCUUGUUUUACAGAAACAGAUUAAUAGUGAAAAUUUUUUGUUGGAUGAACUAAGCAUCAGGUAGCAGAAUUAUACUACAAAACAAAAACAGAAUUGCAGGGUUACAGCCAACAAAGAUAUGCAUUUAACAAGAGGACAGCUGCUAUAAGACAAGCUAUUGGUGAUAAUAGGAGGACAUGCAAAAUCUUCAUGGAGAUCACAGAAAUCCUGAGUUCUAAAUUUAAUAAUGCUGGAAUAGACUGUUACUGUAGCUUUUUCCAUCAACAUAAACUUCUUGGUGGUGACAAGGCACUUAGUUUAAGAGCAUAAACUAAUCUUGUCUAUGCCUCAAGCCAUUUUAACAAGACUUUUACACUGAUCUAAAUUUUCUCAACACCUUCACUCACCGUCAUUAAAAAGGGGUCAUCACCAAGUGUAGUUGUGUGAAUUGGGAAUCGUGUAAGAUGGAUAGGCAAAAGGUAUCUCAUCUAUGGACGUGAUUCUAGACAGAAGCUGACUCUGAAACUCAAUUCUAUUACCCCAUGGAAUCUUAUACGACCAUUAGCCUCUCAUGAUUGCUCAUAUAUCUUUCAGAAGGGGAAAAAAAAUAAAACUUGUAGAACAAGAUUUCACUACAUACCACACUUUGAGCUGACUGAUCAUUUCGUCUUACAGUUGCAGGAUGCAAAUAGAAUUCUUCAUCAGAAGCAGGAACUUUGACCUUGAUUACCUUGAUAGUUCUGUCAUAAGUUACAGCUGUUGACACUGGAAAAAAAAAAAAGAAAAAAAAGGGUAAUCUGAUUGUCAAAUGACAUAAUUCACAGUCAAUGUCAAGUUAGUUGGUAGAGUAGCAAUCCUGCCCGAAUGGUGGUUUGAUUUCAUAGAAAAUGAUAAAUAAGGUCAAACAAAUUUGACUACAAAACUCAUUGUCAUGCUAAGAAGAUUCAUGUUACUUAAAAUUUUCACUCAUCCCCACCAUAAUUGUCUGAAGGAAUUUAAGAAAUAUGAUCUUGAAAAAGGUUUUCUCUUUGUAGAGAUUCCAGAAAACUCAAGUCGAGGCCUAACAACUUGCUAGCAUUUUCUUAGGCUAGAGGACUUACUAUAUUUUCACACUUUUUCACAAGAAGCUACUUCUUCAAUAGACUCCAAAAGCAUUUUCUUAGGGAAGAGGACUCAGUACAUUUUCAUGCUUUUUUACAACAAGCUACUUCUUCAAUUAACUUCAAAUUCUUAAAAAUAGAAAAAAGAUAAAAGAUAAAAGUACCUUGUUGACGGAUCUUGGCACACUGUUGGACAACGCAGACCCCUAAGUCUUGAAAUGUGCUGGCAAUUUCCCCUUGAGGGUCAGCCACCACUUCUGGCACUCCACUAUCUCCAGAAGCAGAUAGCUGUCACAUUGUUUCCUUUCUUAUUAAGAGAAAAAUUCUAGCCAUUGGUUCUCAUGUUCUAUCAAAAUUUUUUAAGUUUCCAUAUAGAAAAAGUAGUCAUGGAUUGAGAACUAAACAGACUUAUAUGAAGUCGAGGAUAUUUCACAAAUAUAAACUUCUUAAAACAGACCAGCUACAAAAUGGUGCUUUCUAGCCAGAAUUGCAAGAAUGGCACUUACACUUGGUCUAAUAGGAAGAUCAAACAAAUGGGGGAUUCCAAAUUGCUGAACAACCUGAACAGAUGGGGAUAAAUAAUUUAAGAAUUCAUGUCUCCAAAUUAUAUUUGACUUAUCAUGCUAGCCAUCAUUUUUGCAAAUAUUUUGUCAUGACACAGUUGCGAUGCCACUGUUCAUCCUGGUAUAUAAGUUAUCACUUAAUGUGUCAUAGAAGGAGCAGAUAAAUAUCAGAUUUUGGAAUAUGUAUAAACCUGAGAACCCGAACCUCUACCAAAAGGGUAAUACCGUUUUCCAUCAGCAUCAAAGUGGCACAUAUUUUCAACUACAGCAAUACAAGGCACCUGCUAACACAAAAACACUCAAUAACAGAAGGUAACUGAGCAACCAGCAUACAGUGAUGGGAAAGUUUCAGUAGAUAAUAUGUGGAAGGUUAAGAUCACCGCAUUUGCUUCAAAAUACAAUAAUAGCACACAUAAGUAACGGAACCAUACUUUAAGCUUUGAGAACAUCCGAACUCCCUUGGCCACGUCUAUAAAAGCAAGCUUCUGAGGUGUAGUAACGAUAACAGCAGCAGUCAAAGGAACAACCUGGUAGUUGAAUUGAACUAUAAGAUCUAAUGGAUUUUAAAAAUUACGGUGACAAUGUACAGAAUUAUCAAUUAAUAUUUUACAGAAAAGAUCCAAUAAAUGAGUACCGGGGCAUUAAAACAUCACCUGGCAUAAGGUAAGUUGAAUAUCACCAGUUCCAGGAGGCAUGUCAACCACAAGAUAGUCUAGUUCCCCCCUGCAUAAAAGUGAGAAUUAGAGCAUAAUAUCAAACCAAAGCACAUAAGCAUAUCUUAAACAGAUCUGAACAUUAACAUAAAACUUCCAAUUAGCUCUUACUAUAUUACUUUUCCUAGUUUAAGCAAACAAAUUUUUGCCAUGUGAUAAGCUGGAUUCAAAUCAAAGAGGUGCCAAUUGGAAUGAACAAUAUCUACAUUAUGUGAUUGACCUUUCCUCCUAAAAGUUUAAAACAUAACAUGCAAUAGCAAAACUUCCAAAUUUAAGAGAUCUAAUCUAAAUAUUAUGCAAGGCAUACCAUUCUGUAGUAGUCAGCAGUUGGUUGAUAACUCCAGAAACCAUUGGACCUCGCAUUAUUGCACGCCCUUGACCAGCAAAUCCAAAAGAUACUAACUUGACACCCAAGUAGUCAGUUGGAAUGAUGGUGUUCUUCUCUGGGUUCUGUUAGAUGUCUUUCGCUGGUUAUAAAAUGACCAAAAAGUAUCACACAGUUUCUCCCAAAUAACUGGAGAAUUACCAUUUCUAGCAGCCGAUUUUCAGGGGAGACCAUCGUUGGCAAGCUGGGACCAUAAACAUCUGCAUCAAAGAGACCGACUCUAGCACCCAUGCCAGCCAACGUAAAAGCAAGGUUGACGGCAACAGUUGACUUUCCUACCCCUCCCUGCAGUAAAUGCAAAGCUAUUGUAAGUGCUAAAGACAAUGUCACAGUAAAGCUACUAAAAGGACUCAAGACAAUAAUAAGCAUGAUAGCAGUUGAAGAUAAUAAUCGGUUAAACACCCAAGUCAGAUGUUCAAAUCAACUUCUUCAAGUUAUCUCAACAUUAAGAGUCCAAGUUUCACAUAUUCAGAUACUAGCACAGAAGUCCUAUAUUGCUUUAAUCCGAAAAAAACAAGUACACAGGCAAAGUCCCAUCACUAAAAUUUCUACUUUGAACAAAAUAAAGGAACUCAUACAAAAUGUGUACCCAUGCAGAUAUGUGUACUCAUACAAAAUAAAGUAAUGUAACAAACAAAUCAGGUUCAUAGAAUAGCUAACCAACAGAGAGAUUGCACAUGCUUUACCUUGCAACUCGAAACAGCUAUUAUGUUUGAUAUUGUUUGCAGACCCAUUGGAAGUGCCCCAGCAAACAUAGGUUUAGCUGGUUGUGCUGACAUUGUAACAUUUACUUUUCUCACCCAGGGGAGUGCUGCAACUACCUCAUUAGCCUUCUGUUCAAACUGUGGAAAAUGGAUUUUUACUGUGUGUCUAUGAUAUAUUCAAGUCUAAUUAAGAAAAGAGUCACUCUCACGGAGCUCUUUGAAGGGUGGGAGGAGGGGGUGCGGGGGAGAAUGCAACAAGUUGUCUAAAUAUAUCAUUUCAAUAAAAAGUUGAUCAAAGAAUGUAAUUAACGGAAGAAGCAGAGAAAAAGAGAGCUUUGGUUAAAGUGAAAAUCUUUUCACCAAAGAAUCCUGCUGCAAUGGACUUAAGCAAGAACAGAAAGUAAUAAAUUAAAUAGUAUGUACCACAGGAUACACACAUCAAUUCUUGAUCAAACAAUGGUGGUUGUGUUUCAUUUACCAUGUCCUUGAUUGGACAUGCUGGUGUUGUGAGCUCUAAGCGAAAUGAAACCUGAGAUUGAGUUGAAAUGUUGGGUAAGGACAUUAAACACUAGCUACCGGCUAAUAAAGUGAUUAGAUUCAUCUUUCAAAAGACCUCUCCCACAGCCUCAUUGACUAGAAGAUCUUUAACAAAGCCACAUGAGACGAUGUCUGUUCCAAAGUCUGGAUCAAUUAUCUGGGAUAAGGCUUUCAAUACAUCAGACUCUGCUGUAUGGAGUGAUACUGUGGAGGCAUUAGCUGCAAUAUUCCAAAUAAUUGUAAUUAUUGUAAAAUGUAACACAGACAAACUUCAAAUAUAUUAGUAUGUGAAGAAACACUAACUCAAAGAAAUGGACUUUAAAAGUAGUUGGUAAAUUGUACCAAAGGACAAGAAAAUAAAGGCUCAACAUGUUGGAAUUAUCCCUUCACCGGUGCAGCAUUGCCAAUCCACUACACAUUAGAAGUUUGUAAGGUUGAUAUGCAAUGCAGGACAAGGAGUAGGGGAAGUGAGCUUUAGAGGUCGAGAGAGGGUGAGAAGAAACUAAGUCGAGAACUAGAAUAAAGGAACUAUAUAUGUACUUCAAGACUCUUAACAUUCCUACAACUUUAAUUUCUUUUAUUUUUGGGUUAAUUACAUUUACCUCCCCUGAGGUUUAACCAAAUUACCAUUUACUCCCUGAAAUUUAGACAAACUACAAAAGGUCCCUCAAAUUGAAAGAUGUAUAACAGAUACACCCCUCCCGUUAGUCUGUUGCUGUUGACUGUUAAGAUUAUAAUGAUGCCAUCAUACAAAUUUAAUGAAAUGCCUAGAUUGCCCCUAAAUCCAUAACCUUCCCCUUCCCUUCGUUGCUUUUCUUCAAAACCUAACCUACUCCAUUUACCACCGUUGACAUAACUAUGGCAGCAAAAUCAUCGAGAUAUAUUAUCGAUACCCACUUUCAUGAUCAUUUUCUUGGUGAGCACGUUUUCACUGUCAAAAUCAUAAUAAAUUUAUAGAAAUUUAAUUGACUUCAUCUCUAUUAUUCCCAUAACAACCAUCCUUUUAACUCCGUUAUAAGCAGAGAAAACAUCCAUUUGAUAAUAUCAAACCCAAUGACCAACUACAGAUAUAACCCAGAGUUGAAAAAAUGAUUAUUUGGAACUCUAAAUACCCGCAUGAAUCAAGUCAGAUCCUGGCUGAUAACCGUUAAUUCCUCACUGCCAAUUUGAGUGAGUUUGAGAUUUUACUCGUCUCUGGAUUGGUCGAUAUGAUUGUGGUAGUUGCAGAGAAGGGAAAUACAACAAACAAGAUUAUUGGCCGACAAAGGGUUACAGACUUGUAGAGACUCUUUUGUGGUGGAUUGAGUGAACCUUUACAUUGCUUCUAUAAAUUUUCUUUCAUCGCUCAAUUGUCGGUUUCCUUUUUUCACUCUACUUUUUUUUCCAUUCCUUUCUUUGCUUUCACAUUUUAAUUUCUUUUUUGUUUUCUAGGCUUUCCUUCUUUCUUCAUUUUCUUUCUUUUGUUCCUUUAUGCACAUAUUUUAUCAAAUUUGAUUAUUACAUGCUUGGUUUUAUUUUUUUCUUUUAUACUGGUUAAAAACUGUUUUAUUUAAGUAGCAAACUCUUAGUUUAAUUUGUUAUUAUUGAAACCACCUUCGAUUUUUUAACGAUAAGUUUUCUCUAACUACAAGUUUUUACAGAGAGGGUAAAUAUGACAUUUUACUACUUCUAUUUAAGUGUCUUUGACGGGGUUACUUAAAAAGGAGGUACUUGUAAUAUUACCACACCACAGGCAUUUAAUGGUAGUUUGGUCAAACCACAAAGGAGGUAGAUGUAAUAAACCCUUAAAAAUUUGAUGGAAAUCAAUAAGGGUUAUUCAGACUUUUGGCUAUUUCCGUUACUUAUAAGUGACAGAAUGAUAGCAGCUCGAGUAGGGGCCAACCAAUGUCAAGUAAAGAGAUAGUGGUUCCGCGAGGUCCAAUUACAAGGAGUCGGGCUAAGCAACUUCAAGAGGCUAUACAAGCCCUAGUUCGUCAAGUUCAAGUGCAAGCGGGAGGGUCAAGUGAAGCUCAAGGGCUCAUAGUUGACGAUCUUAAACUUUGUACACUUGUUCAAGUGAUUGAAGCCGAAAAUGAAGAAGCUUAGUUCCUAUUUAAGGUUGUUAACUUGGCCAAUCAAUGGUUCCACUAAGGCCGAAUGGUUUUUGCCAUGUUUCCUAGUUUAUUUAAGUUAGUUUUGUUAGUUUAAUUGCUGGUUUACAUAAAGGGAACCAAUUCGGGCAGCUUGAGUCCUCAAGUGGGCCGAAGUGUUUUCCAAAUAAUUUUAGGGUUUCUUUUGUAAAGGCUAUAAAUAGCCUCCCUUCCUGUUAUCAGGGGGACAAUCAGAAUUUUACUCUCCCUUUUCCACUUGUGUGAUAACAACUCUCUUUCUAAGAGAUUCUUCUUUGAAUACUUGAGAAUUUACUUGAGUGUUCAUUGGACUUAUAAAUCAAGAAACACACUUGAUUGUGGCAUCUUCUACCUUGUUCCUAGGUUUACUUAUUCAAACUCUUGUGGGUUGCGAUUAAAUUCAAGGUUCGCGAGUUGUUCGUCUAGUGGAGUCAAGGAAUUCCGCCCUUAACUUGAUUUUAGCGUCUAGAUCCGUGACUAAUGGGAUACGAGUUCAGGCCUUCUAGGUGGGUUCGUAUCACAGAAGUUAGUGUGGGAGAGGAAUCUAUUAUUUGGUUAAAUCUCAGGGAUCAAUUCGUUAUUUGGUCAAACCUCAAGGGAGGUAAAUGUAAUUAACCCUUUAUUUUUAGGAUCAUAAAUCUCACCUAACAAAACCAUGAAAGUUGAUAAACUCCUAAUUAAUCGAAUCCUUAGCAGUUAGGAAAUGGAAAGCAUAAAAAAAAUCAUAUUUAAAAAUAUGCCUCACUUUCAAUGAGAUCCCAUAAACCUAAUUUCCUGUUUCGUGAGUCUUUCAUCGCCGAUACUAAAUACACAUGAGACUUCAGGACAUUCUUUUCCACAAAAUUAAAGGAACCUUGAGAACCCAAGAUUAUCACGUACUAGAAUAAUAUCAUUUCCACAAAAUUAACGGAACCUUAAGAAACCAGAAUUAUCCUGUAGUAGAAAUGACUGUUGGCUAUAGUUGUCAGUGAUCAUAGAGCAUAGUGAUCACAAAAUUCGGCAUGCCCCUGAAGCCUAAAGUCGUGUCCAUCAUGAAUAGAACGAUAUAAACUUUAAUUAUUCGUUUAGUAUUUUGGACUUCAAAUUGGAUUUCGUAAAAGGAAAAAAAGGAAAGGCUGAAAUCAAAUGUGAACAAGAACAAUGGUUUCAACCACUCAAUGCCAAGAAAGAAUUUAAAGCAAACCAACAUCAAACAACCUUUGAUUGAACCAUUUCUCUUCCUUUUUCCCCAAAAGAAAAGUGAAUGAUAACCAGUAAUGAAGUUGUUGUCGGGCAGAGCUACCAAAAGAGAAGAAUAUGAUACUUCUACGAACUCUUAUAAUUCAGGAAAUGUACCGAAAAAAAAGUGUUUGCAAUUGCGGGCUUUCUUAGGAGAAGAUGGAAGAACUUACCUUCAACAGAGGCAGCUUUAGCAGUGACGGAACUGAAACUUGAGUGGCCAAACGAUGCCCACAAGCUCUUUACAUUUCUAUGAGAUAGAAAGGAGCUAGAAACUGCAUGUACACCUACAAAAGCACAAGGUACAACUGCAUCUUAGUAGUCUAGUAACAAGUAGUGAUAGUUCUCAUGCAGGCAUUGAACGUUAAAACUGAGUGGGAUCAUAAUGUGGAAGGAAACUUUUACAUGCUUUCGGUUGAAAAGUAGAGUGAUGAAAUGGGAGUGUAGGAGAAGAUGAAGUGUGAAGAGAUAGCAUCUCUUUCGAAUGCUUCUCUCUCCUCCUCUGUGUGUGCUUGUGUUGUCUGUAAUAAUAUACAAUCAAACUUCUUCUUUUUUGCCCUUUUGGCGUGAGCAAUUCCGAUUGGGAUAGAGGAAGAAGACUGGAGAAUGGAGGAGAUGGCUGAGCAGACUGCAGAGUGAUGAGGUUGAAGGUAAAGACUAAAGAGCAAAGAGAUGAUGGCCUAAAAGAAGGGGGGAAAAUAUGAACCUCAUGUUUAUCCAUGCCACGUCAUCUUUGUAAUGGGCUCAUCGCUUUGCAGCAGCCACAGAAUCCAUAGACAGGGGACCCGCUGGAUUUACUUUUCAAUUGGCUUCAUUUCAGCAGAAACCCUUUCUCAUGUUUUGCUUUCGAUGGGUUCAUUUAUUCACGCAUCGAGUAAAAUAAAAGACUAAAAAAGAAAAGUCGAUCGAGCUGAUGAUAAUUGCAAUUUUGAGUUGUUAAUACGGUACCAAUGGGGUAAAAUGGUUCAGCUUGUCAAAGGUUUAGAGGGAUCGAAUUUAGAUUUUUCAAAUUUAUACUAUAUGCAUAUAUAUAUAUAUAAAAGACCAUGAUGACAUUCAUGAUUUUUCAUACCAUGUACAAAUUCUAUCAAAUAGCAUUCAAAAUUUGCAUUGUGAUACGUUUAUUUCAACAAAUUCAUACCCAAAACUUCUUUCCUCUUCCGUAAUACUUUUAGUUGCGAUUGAAGUGCCUUCCUCGCUCAUUUUGUCUUGGCCAGACUGGUCACUGGUCAUAUUAUUAUCCUCUCUUGCCACGUUUAGAAAAACACAUGACGCGGUCUCUCAUCUGCAGUCAGGGUAAGGCUUUGGGAAGGCAAGACUCGUGAUUUGAUGGAAUUCCUCUACGGACACCAUAAACUUUGCGUGGCUUCAACUAAAUCAUAUUGAAACAAGAGUUACGACACGUCGUGGAGGUUUUAUUUACUAUUUAGUUUAGUGAUUAUCAACUCCGAAGAGCCCUUAAUCUAAGGGUCAAAACUUGAUAUCCUAACAUUUAUAAAUCUUGAGUUUAAAUCCUCUUUUCUUCUCUCCUACUAAAAAAGAUUAAAGAAAAACAAGAGUUACCUCUCAAACACAAAUUGCAAUAAUAGAAGAAUAAAGUUUCUUUUCACUUAGAUUUUGAUACCCCAAUCUUUACAAAUAUGUUUGGCUUCUUGGACAACAGAGUCGUUUUAAGUGGUUGAUUUUGAUCAAGUUUAAUUUACCACAUCUUUUGCUAUCCUAUCACCACUUCAAUGCAGAGAAAUAUGGACCAAUAUUUGAUAGUGAUUUGAUUAUUUUUAUAUCUACAUUUUUGGUUUAGUUAUUAAGAGCACAUUGGUAAUCUUGUUAAUUUAUGACCAUUAAUAGGGACAUUCAAUGUUAUCAAUCUAAUAGGGGUAAGUUAAAUUUUAAAAUUUCCAAGAGAGCUAAAUGAUAUAAUGAAAUAUAUCAAGGAAGGUUUCCGAAAUUAUUCCCAAAGUUCAAGUGCCAGGUCAGGACUUGCAGAGCAUAACUACACGUAAGACCAUUUUCAGGCACUUCACCCUUCAAAUUGUUUAUGUUGCGCAACGAUAUCCACCAUAGUGUAUUUGCACAUGAAAAAGCUCCCUGGCCUCGCAGUUCAAUCAGGAAAAUUUCCUGAAGAAACAGAUAAAUGCAACAAAAUUGGAUAAUAACUUCAAUCAGAUCUAAUGCAGUUUACAGGCGUUUAACUGCUGCCUAACUCAUACGUUCCUGCUAAAACUGCAGGAGCCAUGAAAUCCUUGUAUUAUCCAAAACAAAGAUAUAAGCUAAAAUAGGUGAAGAUGUCUAAUAGCACAUGAGAUCUUCCACCCUUCUACACUAGAAUGCACUGAAAUUAAUGGCAUAAAAUGGAACUUUGAUAAUUAGUUCAACUUCUCCAAAAUGUGAUUAUGGUUCAGAAAAUGCCUAGUGUUCCUACAAUCUGAUAUCCUCCCAAGGAUUAAGGCCUCUUCCUGUGGAGAAAUAAGGAUUUGUUACCAUACGGCAACCUGAAAUCUUUUACCAGAUCACCUUGUCCGCAAAAUAAAUGAAUCACUUCACCUGUGACUAGGAAAAAAUGCAUGUACAAUGAACGGUCAAGAUGAUCAGCAAUAAUUUAUCAGAGGGAUGAUAAAUGGUAAGUUAAACUGCUGAUUAUUACUUCCUCAACGCCCCCGUUAACCUAAUGCCAAAGCCUGCUGCAGAAGCCAUUUCGAGGCCUCUUGCUUGAUAUUAUAUCACUAAACGAGUCAACCAAUUGUCCAGCCAAGCUACUUGGAUCAUCAAGUAGAGUUUGAAUAAAAGUGUUUACCACCCUGCGUUCUUGGUCGGUUGAUCUCAAGCUGAACCACGUAAGCAAUUUCAAUCUAAACUCCUUUUCUAUGUAGCCUUCACACUCCAGCCAGCGUAUGAUCUUGACACAGUACUCAAAAUUCUCAUCCAGGCAACCCGGUCCAUUCCGCACUCGAAAUGGUGAUCCAUUUAUAAGAGUGCUAUCAGAAUCAUGUGUCUCUCCAUUGCUAGCUGCUCUCUUUCGGCUUGCUUCCACCUUAGAGUCGACAGCAGGCACCUCUCCAUUCUGCCCAUGGUUCCAGUUUUGGGAGUCACCACUACCAUGCGACCUUGCUACACCAUUUUUCUCAAUGUCAUGAGAAACUGCAUCAUCAUCUGCCUCAACAGUCCGUGCUAAAGUGCAACCAUUAUCUUCAUCUCUUGAUGACUCAAUUAGAGGAGCUGCCUCUUCAUUUAGAUCGGGAACUGAAGCAACAUUUAAAUCAAGUUCACGUGAAACAGAUGGGACGUCUUCUUGUAUGCUUUCUGGUUUAAUAACUUUACUAACACUACUACAUCUAACAAUAUCUGCCCCACAGAAUCUCUCAAAACAGCCUUGUUCUUGAGCCCAAGCCAGUCUCAAGAUCUUUCCAAGGUCCCUGACUUUAAAACCGGAGUCAGAUUCAAUGGCAGUAGGAGUUCUGUGCUCCAUCUCAGCACUUGAGCUGCCUCCAGAAUCUGGAUUCUCCUUCCUAUGGCUAUGAUUUUCUGCAACUGAAUUGGAAUUCUUGUGAAUUAUCUCUCUGCUCUUGGUGAAGCACUUGGCCUCAGAGUGCCCCAAGUCACCUCCCUCCAUAUAAGAAACUAUGCGGAAGGAGUAUUCGGUGCAGGGCUGCAAAUUGGAUAUCAAAAUCCUCCUUUGAGCUCUUGGAAAUACACAAACAGGCUCCUUGGUGUAAUUUUCUUCCCUACUCUUACAAUACCAAAGCUUGUAGCCCUUGACAUCAUUGGAGGAUACACUAGAAAGCUCUAUCAAUACAAUUACAACUGAAGUAGAUGUUACUUCCUCAAACAAGAAUCUGCAAGCAGCAGGCAGUGAACCCUCUGCCAAAAUUGGAAACCAAGCGCCUUUUAUCAUAUAUGACAUGCAAUGUUUUCUCCACUUAAGAAACAGUAAAUACGCAAAGACAGCUAGUAGUACCUCUGUAAUCUGCGGUGGCACUGGACUUUGAGGUCAGCCAUUCAUCAGCUUUCUCAAUGGCAAGGGAGCAGAGCGUCUGGACAUUGCCUGCAACAGAAAGUCUGCUGACAAUUCCCCUGGCCAUCUUGGCAGAAACUCCAUUAACUGGGCCGACCUCUGUUUCUAACUUGGCCUUGGCUUCUUUAAUAAUUUCAUGGAGUUCUUUAAAUCUGGAAGUCCCAUCCAGGAGCCUAUAACUCAGAAAUAUCCGAUAGCACAGGACGUCCACUCGACGAGCAUCCUUCGCUAUAUUUAGCUGUUUCUUCCAGUAUCUGUAAAAUCAAAACCACAGGAAAAAAAGUGCUAUUACCAAACCAAAACAGCUUCUAGUUGAUCUCGAACUUUAUUCAUUCUAUUCUUUUUUAAACUUGAUUUCUGUCAUUAUUUGCAAGUCACAGCAGAAAAUAGUAGGUAAAGUUAUCUUUCAUUAAACAGGAACAACCCAAUAUGAAGAAUAAUGUUUGUACCAUCUUGUCUUUCCACUUAACAGGAUAAGCAAAAAUUUGAAUGCAAAUUCAAAGGAAAAAUAGAAUGUCAAAGCAAAAACAAAGCCAUAAAAAAUUGCAGUUAAGAAAUGACAUCUAGUAGACAGAAGUUUGUUGGUUUGCUCAAAUAUUUAGGUAUCACUGCACAUUUUUCUGUUUGAUUGUGUUUGAUGUAUAUUGAUCAGAGAGCUUGAUCCUAUUUCAGAUCUCUGAGCCUGUCAAUGUUUAUGCUUUGCAUUUCAUCGUAUUCCUUUCAAGUUUCAACUUGAUUACACAAUGCUUGGGGUGAAACAGGACGGGUUGGUUUUGUCAACAACAGCUCUGAAACUCGUAGAUCACGAAAUUAUUUUUGUUAUUGAAAUAUCCAUAAGAUGAUUAUCAAAAGAGGCAACUUACCCAAGUAUCCCUGAAACUUUACCACAAGCAGCACAACAAUAGCUUCCAUCUAGCUGCAUCAGUUGUCCAAGAUCGACCACCCCCACCUUCCCACGUUGGAGAGCACAUUCAAUGUGGCAAGAUAGGCCACAGUAGUCCCCCUGGCCAGAUUCAGAUGCACAUUCUAACCAAAGACUUGGAUCCUUGUUGUCAUCAAAUAAGUGACAAAUGCAGCAAGAGCACCGCUUACAGAAUGUGUCUUCUAUGGAAAGAGUUGCUCGACAUGCAGAAUUUUUGCAUAUCCAUGAAUUCGAACAUUUAAAAUCAGCACAUUGUUCUGUUAUGGGGGGAAUGCGGACAGGGUUUUCAGCUUUUCUAUUUUGUUUUUUCAAAGGUUGAUCUUUGGGACUUGAAGCUGUUUUCUUUUGAUCCAGGUUUUUAAUUGGUUUUUUGCUAAUUUUUGUAGCUGGUUCAGACAUUUUGCACUUUGAUGAAGCUGAUUGUUUCUUUUCCUUUUCCAAGCAAGUAUGCAACAGAUCCUUCCUUGCACCAGAUUUUAGAAAUUCUUGGAGUACCUUGGGGCUUCUAGAAGCAUCAUCUGAGUGUCCAUUCUUCUCCGGAGUGCUGUGCACACUGGAAGAUAGACUUUGAAUGCCAGAAACUGUACAUGAAAGAUAACUCAGUCAGGAUCCAGCAAUCAAUACUACAAUUAGCCAAAAGCUUCUUUUGUUCAGGUAAUCUGGCAAAACUUAAUCUUAUGUCCCACAUUGGGUAGUUAGUAAGGGUAGUUUAGGAAAAACAUAAAGUGACAAAAAUUUGUGCACACCAAAAGUUCCCUCUCCCUUUAUAUAUAUUAUAGAUGUCCCACAUUUUCUGCUUGUUUGCAUAACAGAAGGUAAUUUUAUCCUCUCCACAAUGAAUUUUCAAUUAAGAAAGAAAACAAGUAAACAAUCAUCUUUAACAAUCUUACCAUAAUUUACUCAGAAAUCCAGUAAAUGCAGCCAAAAGACUGAUAAGAAAGCUAUUACUUUUAUCAACUAUUACAAAAUAAUAAUAAAUUAAUUAUACUCCUCCAUAGUUUGUCAAAAAAAAUUUUAAAAAAAAUCUCCUUUACAAUGCAAAAUAUGAUUAAAGAACAAUAAGUUAAUUUCCAUGCCAGUCUUCUUUGUUCUCCAAGCUUUGUGGAGCAAAUAUCAGUGGAAAAGUAUUACAAAACCAUAAACAGAAAUUAAAAGGCCUUCCCUCCAUGUGUAGACAUGCUUUAGCCAGCAGUGAAAUCAAAUGUAAUGGAUCAAAGAAGCAUGUGCACGCGACAUACUCUAGUGCAGAAUUCUUAUUCUAAAGGCUUCUUAACCUUUUCUUUUUUCCUAAUAAACAAGGAUAUUAACAACAAACAAUAAGAGGAAAAACAUGGAUCAUUGUGCUACCACAAUAGAACCAACUACUGAAGAUGAUAUGAGCCGUUUGCUGUUUGACCCAAACCUAUAUUAUGUGAUCAAAACUAAACAGACCCAGAAAAAAGAAAAAAUACUAACUGUUUCUCUACUAGUAACCCAGAAAAGAGCAAAAAUACUAACUGUGUUUCUGCUAGUAAUAGUAGACUUGUUUAGGAGAGCAAACCGCAAUUACUGGAGCAUCAGAAGAUGUUGCACUCGAACAAUAAGCAACAUAGCCUACAGUAUCCAAUAAAUCACUACUUUUGCUAUGUAAGAUAAAUGGGAUCCAAUAAUUCAAAAAGUUGACCUUAUUCAAAAGAUAUAACAAAAUGCCCCAGGAUCAACGUAGGAAAGGAAAAGAAAGAGCUCUUUUACCAGCAGAGAAGAAAGAAGAAUCAACAUGUAUAUUGGGAUUGGUUAUUCUUACAACCAGCAGAGGAAGAGGCACAACUACAUGUAGCAUCUGCAACAGGCCAUGAGCAAUUGCUAGAACUGUUCCAAAAUUUUGAAACAGUAGUUGAAAGUGGAGGGGUUAGGAUAAAGGGGAGAGUCAAAGCCAAAAGAGUAAGAAUGAUGCAAGUGCGGUAAAGGGAUUCUAAGCAGCACCCACCAAUGCCAUGAGCGAUGUUUGGCUUUUAAAAAAGAGUCCUUUAGAACCCGAUUUAACCAUCUUAUAAGGAUUCUCAACCCAUAGCUACUACAAGUGAACUACUGGAGCGUGACUUAAGAAACCAAAAAAAAUUUAAAAAAAAAUUGAAACAUAUCAGCUAGCAUGAAAAGUUAGUUAUCAAUUGCAGGCCGAAAUGAAAUAAUCAAACCAAAUUGAUCCUAAGAAAAAAUUCUACAUUUUGGAUCAUCUACUAGCUCAAAUAGAAUACUCCAACAACCACCAGUUAAUGACACAAAUAUAAGCCACCUGUUCUGAUGAUUCAAUCAUAAGCACGUGUCACCAAGCAUACAAAGAAAAGUAAAAGAUAUUUUAUAUUCUCAUAAAAUUCAUACCAAACAAUCAUUUUUUUACUUAAACAAUGAGGUAAUUAAGAAAUAUAUCAUGUCCUAUAAUUCAUACUGAAAUUUUGCAUUAAACAAACAUUAUGACAAGGGAAAACUAAUUACGCUAAGUGACCAAAUCAAGGCAUUAAUGAGAUCAAGCUGCACAUUAGCCAGCAUUUUUCUCUUUAUCAGCAAAGUUAAUUGUAAAAAGAGUCUGACUGAUCAACUUUGUCAGCAAGAUUCCAUCACGAAGUUAACUUUCCUAUUUCUAAUUCAUGUAAAGGGUAUAUGAAAUUUUUCUUAACUCGGCCAAAUCAUUGAUCAUACAGUAUUUUCUUCUGCUAGAAGAUUACAUGUCAUGAAUGUUAAGAUAAACUUGAAGCCAUCCAAAUCUUGUAAUUAAUUACUUUACCAUAAAGUAUCAUCAAUAACUGUAGCAUUUACUAAUUGCUUUCCUUUUGAUCCAGGAAAGGCAAGAAUUUAUUACUACGACUAUCCAACUAUGCAUCCACAAACAUGUAGCAUGUUGAAAACAUGCUUUGAUCUUUUGGAGAUACUAUAGUGCUCUUCUUUUAAUUCAUCAAAUUUAUUUGCAAUUGAUUUUCCUUGUUCCUUCACUCCUUUUACCCCACCUUAUUUUCUUCUUCACUACAGUGGUUGGGGUCUUGCGCAUUGCGCUUGACAUGCUCAGGAAAUCAAGCAUACUCUACAUAGACAAACCCAAAAUCCCUAGUGUAUAAUCACUCAGUAUGGGAGAAAAGAAAAUAAAAUUACUUGACCAGACUAAGAUCACGUUGGCUUGUUUCUUAAAGCCAAAUUCAUCUUCCCUUCAGACCAAUUCCCAAAGUAAGUCCUUUGAAACAGACUACAGCGACAAUCCUCAAGUUCUUAGAUGAGCAUCAAAAUGAACUUUACAACAUUCACCAUGCCACAUAUCAAGGAUGCAAAACCAAGCGUCAGAGAAAGAAUGCAAAAUCACUAACUUGUAUGUUGGGCAAGUAUAUAUAAAUUAAUAAAUCUUAACAAACGUGGAUAAUGCAACUGACUUCUAUCCUCCAUUCGACUUAGAUAUGGAAGCUUUAAGGUCUAAAACCAUUAGCACGUGCCUCAUAGUGUCAAAGAAAGUAAGAAAAGACUGGUAAGAUGAUCUCAAGACCAGUAUCCUAUUUGUGAUUGAUAGUAUUCGAGUUAGCGUUGGUGCAUUAAAAGAUUGCAUAAUUUAUGGUCUUUAAUAUUUCUUAGCAAGACCUUUUACAGGUUUUAAUACAAAAUUCUACUCCAAUUUCUUAUCAUAAUGUUUUACACUCCAUAAACAGGUAAAGCAUUAUGAUUAAUAGGUAGUUCAUCUCAAGGAAAACAUAUCAGAUUUCUUUGUCCUUGCAGCAUGUCUGCUCCUCUAUCCAUAUUUAAUAUUUUAAGCUUAUGGGGAGAACAGAUCAUAGUUACAAUUUUACCAGCGUAAGAGUAACAGUCAACAUGAAUCAGAGUGACAGUCAAUUAACUAGGCAAAGAUAAUGUCUAAAUAUCUGACUAUGAAGGUUACCCAGAUGUUACCAAUUAACACAAGUUUUCAAUCUCCAAAGUAAAGGUUCUUAAAAUUACAUAUAAAAAUUAAAAAGAACACUUGAUGAUUGAUCUUCUCUUACAAGCUAUCAAACAUACACAAAUCACACAAAGAUCAAACAGCAAUAUGGUCAUACAAUCAAUACUGUUGACCUUCUUAGCUGCAAAACAAAAAGGUUAUAGAUUUACUAAAGAACAAAAUCAGACCUAUGUUCUAGCUUUGAUCUCAAGCAGAACAUAAAAAUGAUAGUACCCGACGCAAUACACUCUUUAAUUUAUGAUCUUAAACAAUCAUGAUCAACAUCAAUGACAAUGCUUGAUCUUCACACAAUUAACAAUAUAAAAAUAACACCCUGACCUUGCAUUUCUUUGAGUAUACUGAUAUAUGUUCUUGGUGUCAACCCCUUAUUACAUGAGCAUUGCGUUUUGAGCAAUUUAGAAAAUGCUAAGAAUCAAUGGACAAAAUUGAAUCCAUAAGUCCACCAAUAAAACGGAAUUCCUGAAGAAGCUAUAAAUUACAGCAUAGUAUCCUUGCCAAUUAGGGUUGUUUUACUUUCAAAACAUUUGACCUCCCCAGUUAGAAAGACGCAACCACAAUGCUUGAACUUUAUACCUAGCAUGUAAUUAAGAAUUUACUUCUUCCGGUUAUGUUAGGCCCAAGAACUAUAUGCUCCAUCUCAAAGUUUACAUUCAGAAUUGACUAUUUAGGUCACACUGUUGAGUUCCAAUGAACAUAAUGCUUAACUAUUCAACUUGGCAAAGUUUCAUAUUGAAGUUUGACAAUAUACAACUAUCUUCUUCACAGAACAUAUACACCACAGCAAACAUCAUUUGACUGUCAUUAUUAAUAUGGCAUUCAACUUGCAAUGAGCAGCAUAUUAAACUUCAGAAGCAAUUUGACAUUACAAAAUAUUAAAUGUGCAGAAUGUUAGAUUAUCCCAGUCUAAAACUGCAGAGAAACAUGACCACAAAAUGCUUUAGUAACUCAAACAGCCAGAAAACGGAGGGAGGAAAGAAACUUUUUGUUUUUAGUUUGAUUUUGAGGAAAUGAAAGCGUAUUCUUCGGAUAAUAGUUGGAACAAUAGACAAACAUAGCACAAGUGUAUUUGCCAAGGCAAUAACUCAGGAGCUAAAGGCUUGCACCUUUGCCAAGCUACCGAUAGUUAUAAAACAUUUACUACUGUUCUAAAGAAGAAUACAAGGACGAUAUCAAAAUCCUGCACCAAGAUUUCCAACCGAAGUCAGAUCAAAAAGAAACCUGACAAGCAAAUAAAAAGAAAAGAGUGGAAUAAACUGGAAACAAACUAUAAAAUUUGAAUCCUUUGUUGAGAAGAAACGGACAAAUUGAUGGCGCCUUUGGAAAUAAGGAUACUUAAAUAACUACAGAGGUGUUUAAACAAUUAGAAACAGGAAAGAAUGGUAAGUACACAUGUAUCUAGGAUAAUGGUUAAUAUCCAGGAAAAUGACAAGCUUUCUCUUCAAAUUUUGUUGAUUUCUACAAGCAAGUGAUUGAUACAAAAGCAAAUUGUAGCCAGGUGGCAACUUCCUCAUAUACGAAGUCACACACAACUGUCUCACCUUUAGCAAGAAAUUUAUCUUCCAAAUCCAUGCUAUGACAAGGACCUGGAUGCAAUCCUCCCUGAAACAUUAAGUAAUUUGAUGAAAUUUCCGCAUUUUCAUGUGCAGACCAAACUGGCUAGCUUUCAAACAGAGAAAGAAUAAAAAUGAAGUUUCCAAUACAAGAAAUUAAUUCACACUCUGGCUCAAAAACAGGUUGAAAUACACAAAUGUCUUAAUAGGCAAAAAAAAAAGGCUAGUUAUAAGAAAAUUGAAAAAAGUUGGACAGGGAAAAUUUCAAUUAUUAGGUCUUGCAGAAGAGCCAAAAAAUGCAGCCAAAAGCAGCAAGAGCAGAUCAAGAUUCAUAUGUUGAUUAUACACAAAGGAGUUAAACAUCUAGUACUUCAACCACAAACAUAAUAGCAAUUGUCACAGGCACAAAAACAAGAAAGCAGGAAAGAAACAAGCACAGAUGCAAUUUAUAAUCAAUUGCACUUGAAUAAUUUACUGCAAGUAAAUCACACAUGGAAAGAAAACCAUUUCAUGAUAACAAAUGUAGACCACCCAAUAUAGAGAACGAGAGAACAUUUAGGUGUUCAAUGAACUGCAUGACAACAUAAGUAACAAAGUUAAAUAUACACAUCUCCAGGCUUUUCGUGUUUCAAUGAAGCGCUAUUGUAGAAUUGGGCUUUUCACUAGACACAAUGCUGCAGAACCUUUUGGUCAUAAACAAAAACUGGAACCAUUAAAAUUGUCAUGUAGGCACAAAGAACUAACCAUAAACAAAGACUGUGAAUCAGAACCUGUAGGCCUCUGAAUUAAGGGGUUUUGUAGUUUCCCAUUAGAAUGUAAUCUUUGAAUAGGUCAGCUAACAAGCUCACCUGGCACUGAUUGGGUCGGAGACUCAGACCUACUCCCAACGAUAUGUCCAAUUAAAACAUGCUUUCCAUCUCCAAUAAAUGCAUAUAUCUAUCUUUUCAUGUGAUAUUAUCUACAUGCACGGAUCAUAAAAGAAGAAAAAUUCAUUUCUUUCCAAUUUUAAAACUACUUGGUAACAAACCCAUCCAAAAACCAAUAAACAACCAACAAAAUACAAACACAUUUCGCAUAUUUCACAAUUUUCCAGAUUCUAAAGUCCACACAUUGUCUAAAUUCAACACAAAAUCCCGUCAAAGCAACUUGUCAAACUCAGCUUUGACCUCCUAGUACUGAAACCAGCUCCAGCACACUAUUCAUCCACAAAUCUCAAUAAACAAUAAAAUAAGCACAACAAUACAAUAAACACUGCCGGAAAUUCCAUAAAACGACUCAAAAUCACAUAAUUCACACAAUCACACGAGUAUCCCAAACGAAGCACAAAUUUAACGCGCACCAUGGAACAAUUAUCACAGAUCUGACAACAAAACCAUUUAGCAACACAAUUUACUCAUACUAAAACGUGUAAAUACGCAUCCCUCAACGCAAAGAAAAGCAAUGGAAUAUCAAAGACUUUACCCGGCGGAGAAUUAUUAGGGUUUUUGGUGAAAAACGGAGGGAGGGAGGCUUCAGGGGAGGUGAAAAAUGAAUGAAUUUUGUUUGGGAAGCCUCUCUGGCUUUGUUAUGUUAGUUGGAGCAGGGUACGAAAAAUAAAACUAUAUUUUAACACAAUUUUAUAUUUCGCUUCGAUUUGUUCACUUCUUCACGCACGCUAAUUGGAGAUGUGAGCUAGGAGGGAAGUCACGCGCGGUGGUAGGAGCGUGGGCAAGAAUGAUUCAGUUGAAAAGUGAAGCAGUUGCUGUUAAAGUACCAAGAGCACCUGGCAAUGUUGUGACUUGCCCGUGAGUGGCACGUACCUAUUUGGCACGUGAAGAUAAGGUAAUACAUUUAGCUGAAUUCAUCGUAUGCACUUUUACGUUUUUUUUUUAAUUAAUUCUUGGGCUUGUUUAGUAACUCAGCUUGAUGCUGAAAAUUAUUCAGCAGAACAUUUUUGAAUCUUCAGAAUUUUAAGUAAAUAUAUAUUUAUUCAAUAGAACAUUUUGAACCUUCUGAAUUUUAAAUAAAUACGUGAAUCUGUUAAAUUGAGUAUACAUACUAUACCUCUUUUAUGCACGUAACACACUACUGAUAUUAUACUGUUAAGCACGUUUAUUUUCUUUAUGUUCGACGCACAUGAGCACGCAUGCCUACACGCUCUCUUACACACAAAUACACAACUUAAACACCACCUCUAAAUUAUUUAAUUCUCUUGUCUCUCUCACACACACAUUUUUCUAUUUAUCCAAAUACAUAAUUAAUGACAUUUUUUAAAAAUAUAUAUAUACACACAAUAUUUUGUGUUAUAUUUCAAUUUAGUAUUAUCAUUCAGUUGAUUAUCACACAAAUAUAAUUUAAACAAUUCAAUAAAUUAAUAAUUCAGCACUUAAUUUUUAGAAUUUAAGAUUCGGACUUGAGUUUUAUCAAACAGAUUCUGAUUUAUUUAUAUUUAUUAUUGAUGUCACACGGAGUCUAAACUUUUCAUUCAACCAGAAAGUCGGGGGACGAUAAUGAACAUAAAUUAGUAGUGGUUUGAAACAUGUGUUUUGUUUUUGGCGUAAAUUCCCGCUGUCUAGUAAUUUUGAGCCUUGACUAUUCCGGAAUCGAGCGUGGUCACUCUCCUUAAGUUCUUCGUGCGCCGUACGUGUUCAAUAGCUGUUCAAAUUUCCCAAUAAUUAGUUGCCCCCACUCAUCCGUUCAUGACAGUUCUACAGAGAGGACCAGGGCUGCAUGUAAUUUUAGAAUCAUGGUCCCUUCCAACUCCAAACCAAUGGAACUUUUAGCGAUAGCUAUAAAAAAAUGGUUCUUUCUUUUCUUAUUAUUUCUCUGUUUUAUUGAGGGUGGGGGCCUGCCGGAAGAGAAGGCAGGAUUGGCUGAGAAUUACAAUAGUGCCAGCUGGCAGAAGAGACGCAGUGGCAGGCAGCCUAUGAACCUUUGGCAAGUUUCUCAAAGGCCGUUUUAGUGAGGACAUGAGAACUGUUGCGGUCCACAGUAGGAGUCAUCAGUCAUCGAAUCACAUUUUAUCUUUUAAGGUAGCCAGCAUUCUUAAAUGCGUUUUCUUGAUUUUGUUUGGAUUGAAAUGAUUUCAGAAAAAAUAAUUUUUUUUAUAAAUUUUAAUAAUUUUUUUAUUUUUUUAAUUAUUUUUUUAUUUCACAUACAUCACAUCACAAAAAGUAUUACAGUAAUUAUUUCAAAUAAAUCAUCCAAAUAAACUUCUCUCCGUAUUUCCAAUCACCUUUAGAUGGACUGGACUCCGAGGUCUCAGCUGACAUGCAGCAGGUGCAUUGGGGAUUUGAAGCUUUCUACAAUUUGCAAUGGGUAUCAAAACAGAAGUAGACAUUGUCUGACAAUGAGUGUAAACAUUUUAUUAAGUCGGCAGUAUUUGGUCCAUGAAUUCUAAUCGAGCCUAUCUAGUCCAUGAAUUACUACCUAGCAGUGCAAUUCAUCUGCCAAUUGCAAGAAACCUCAAUCCUUGGGGAGUGAGCGUGUACUGCGAACGCCUUCCUUUUGUCUCAUUUUUGGUUGGAUUCCAGUUUUAAUAUCGUAACCGAUAAAACAUGCACAACACGCGACCCAGUGCAUGUUUUUCCGUUUCACAUUUUUCGCGCAGUGGUGUACGAGGGGGGAAAAAAAAAGGAGAGAGAGAGAAAGAGUUUAUAAUGCGCUGGUGAUUGGGACGGUUUGGCGUCGAUGUAACACAAAUUUUCACAUUAUAUAUAAGUAUUGCGGACAAUUUACUGCUCAAAUGGUGGCUAAGAAAAAAAGGGAGGAAAGAAAAGACGCCGACUUGGCGUGGAACUCGUCUUCCUUGCAUGUUCAAACAUCCACGCGUCUGCGCAAUUUCUCAAUCUUGUGAUAAGUAUCUUUGAACGAAGUUGCCAUGUGUUAAAAUGAAGUCGGGAGUUGGAAACGAUCAUGGCACACUUUUCGUGUACUUUCUUUUUUGGAGAGCCAAAUGGUGGGGAAGAUUAAUCCCACCCAAUUGGCCAACUGUUUUUUGGCAUAUUUUAGUAUAUCACUUAAAGUUGAGAUGUUGCGGGCUGAUUGGCUCCUUAUUGCCGCCAUAAAUUGACCUCUCCACUUGGUGUACUUACAAGUAAACGACUAGUCAGCCAUACAAAGGAUUGAUUAACAAGGGGCGGUGGAGAAUCGAUUCCGCGGCGCUUUGGAUUGGAUACACUCAAAGACCGUUUGAGGAUCAAGUUCCGAACAAAUCGCAGCAAAAGAGAACGGGAGAGCACUGAGCCGAAAUGUAGCCUUUUUUUUAUUCCUCCUCUUUUUUCUUUUUUUUUUCGGUAAUGGUCGUAAAAGGUAUGAUUCACGAAUUCUGCAAUCACAUGGACGUACGUAGUGGGUGCAGCUAUUAAAUAUCAUCAUUUGACUUGGGCAUUCACGUCAACAAAUGGAACCUGUCAUUAAUUUCCGUGAAUAUUAAGUACUUCCAUUGCUUUUCUGGUACAGUUUCUGCUAAUCAUCAUAUUUGGACAAUUUUACUUGAAGAAUGAGUUAGCGAACCACAUGACAUGAAUGAGUUCAAUUUUUGGGGGGGGGGGGGGGGAAGAAAGGGUACUUCCAUUUACUAUUUUCUUUUCUGCUUUCGUAGAAACAAACAAGCACGUUGACAUGCUCGAGACAACCAUGUACCGUGCAUCCUCCCCAUUUAAGUUUUAGCCUUCAAAAAAAUUUUGAAGAUAAGUAACUAAACUGAUUCAUCCCAACAAGUAACUCAUUGAUCUCAUUGAUAGUAGAAUUUGUUUGUUCUAAUUUGCUACUUAGCUUUCAAUUUUGAGAUAACGUGUUGGCAAACCAUUAGCGACGCGUUUGGAUAGACAUUAUUUACAUAAAAAAAUUAUUUACUUGCAUUACAAAUAUAUUUUUAACGCUCCAUUUUUUUUUAUUUCGUAUGCUCCAUUGCAUCACAAAAGGUGAUAAACAAAACACCCAUCCAAACAAACCAGCAAGCAAAGCAAAUUUCAAUGCCGAAAUUCAUGUGGGCCUGUUUGGAACCUGAGUUUUUUGGGAGUUUAUCUAAAACUUUACUGUAGUGCACUCUAGAAGUUUUUGAAAAAAUUUUGUAGAAGUUUUUGUAAGGUGAAAAUUUUUUUUGUAGAAGUUUUUGUAAAGUGAAAAAACUUUUUUUCCUUUCCUUUUUUUUUCUUUCUUUUUCUUUUUCUCUUUCUUUUUUCUUUGUCUUUCUUUACUUUUUCUUUUCUUUCUCUCUUCUUCUUCUUCUACGCAGCACCAACGCAACGCAGCAGCUUGCUCCACCCCCUACUCCGCCACCGGCCCCACCUCCAAACCUCCGCCAAGGCCUUCUCCAGCCUCUCCUUCCACGCCUCCACCUCCGACACCACCGCCAAUGCCUCCACCAGUCAUUCCUCCUACUUUCCCGCCUGCUCCACCACCAGCCCCACCUCCUGCACUACCACCUUUUCUUCCACCAGCACCUCCUCCAAUGCCACCUCUCGCCACCCCUCUCCUCUCUUUCCCCUUCUCCUCCCCUUUGCCCUUUCUCUUCCCUCUUCCCUCGCCCGGCAGUCAAGGCACACCUCCUCCACGAGCCAGUCAAAUUUUUUUUUUUUUUGCAAUUUUCAGCCUUCCCCUCUCCUCCCCUUCCCCACAAUCUGGUGCGUGGAAAAAUCCCCCUCUCCGGUGCUAUCUAGCCUCGCUACCAGAUCGCCCAGAGGGGAAGGGGAAGGGUGAUGGGGGAGGAGUGGGGGACGGGAAUUUUUUUUUUAAAAAAAAGGGUCAUACAAACUGGGUAAAGGGAGAGGAUGGUAGGGGAAGAUGUCGGGGAAAGGGAGAAAGGCCAAAAAAAAAAAAAGGGAAACGUCACCGGCGCCGGACGUGAUGGUCGGCGAUGGAGAUGGUGAUGGGUUGGGAUGGGGGAGGAAAAAGGAAAAAAAAAAAAGGAAGGGAAUUUUUUUUUUGUGUUUUGGAUAUUUUGAAGUGUGUAGGUAAAAAAUUUUGAGAAGUUUUUUGGGAUCCUGUAGCAAAAGUUGUUAAAAAAUUAAUAGGUAAAAAACUUGCUUAAAAACCUGGCUUCCAAACUGGCCCUGUAUCUUGAAAUGGAAUUGGACCUACUGAAAGCUGCCGAAUCGGCCAUCCCAUCAUUUGGUACUACUCCCCCCCAAUAGACAUAAACUGAUAAACAUCAUUCAUUGUUUUGUCAGCAUGGAUAAGCACACUCAAUGGGAGUUGUUUCACACACUUGCCAGGCCAGCCCUGAGUCCCACUUUGCUCCGGCCCCCCCCCCUCCCCCAACGGUCCUCCACGUCCUAGUCGAACUGAUGCGUGCAAGGACAAGCAAGUCUGUUUCCACUCCCGAACAAAGAAGUGGUACUCCAGUGCAGCGUGAGAAUUAUUUUUAACAUUUCUUCCCGGUACAGAAACUGAAGGAAAAAAUGUCGAAUCCCGCCCAUAUUUUCCAUCCAUUGGUGCAAUCUAUAUAUUGGCACUUCGCAGCAGUGAGAGAAGGGCUUCAACUUUUAGCUUCGCUUGGAAGGAGAUAUUAAUUUGGGCAAAGAUUUGCAUAGAUUCGCUCCACCGGCAACAAAGUGGCCACGUCGCUCACUUUCUAAUUUUGCGGCCAAAAAACCUAACGAGUUCUAAAUUUUUCUGGCUGCUUCGUUUUUUAGAGAGAGAAGGCCAAGGACUUUGAGGGAUUUGGGGCAGGACGGUCAUCAGGCAAAUCGUUCCUGUGCAGUUCACGGUCAAAAUUUGGUCAAAAAAAUUGCACAAUCCAAAUCUUCUACAGUUCAGAUCUCAUCUUAUACUUCAUUUUUAAUAAUAUGUGUAAAAUUCAUAAAAAUUUUGUUCUAAAAUUACACGUUAUUGAAAGUAAGUUACACAAUGUAUAAACAUAAUUAUUCUGUGUGCAAAUUGCACAUAACCUUCAAGAACGGUUGGAGGUUGCACCUGCAACCGUUCCUGCCCUGGUUCGACUUUGAGAAACAACAAAGCUACAAAAAGGAGAUACACUCGAGGACGACCAGUUGGAUUGAAGCCAAAAUAACUCCUCCGCCACCACCAAGUCUAGAUUUAAUGUCCCUCACUUUUUAGUUUUUAUCUCUUUUUCUUUCACGGCGUCUUUCACAUUCGACACCAAUUUCAUCAUUGGCUCUGCACAUUAAUUGGCAAAGAAUAGUAGAAAUUCGACUGGAAAAAGUUAUCAGCAGGCUUUGAAGAAACACGAUGACUUUUGCGCUUCCAAUGCAAAAGUUCUUCUUCUUCUUCUUCUUCUUAUGCGCUUCCAACGCAAGUCCUUGCCAGUACAAGAAACCCGUGUUACCACAUUACUACUCUCGAACGCACAUGGCUACAAAGGACUGGACGGGGAUGUUGCUGUUGGGUACCGUCGGUAGGUGCCACCAGGAAGCAAUUGGGAUCAAGCAGCAUUUGUUGCUCAAGUUUCUUAAUUAAACUGCAUAUCUCCAGAGAUCUAAACUCCAUUUUGUCGUCCCAGAUUUCAAUUUUGGAUGUUAGGGAUUCACCACCAAACCACUGUUUCUGCUUUCCCCUUCAAUUAUGGUCAGAAGAAGUGGUGGUGAUAAAGUGGGGAGGAGGAGGAAUUAAGGGAAGGGUAGCGGAAGUGGGAGUGACAAGGAAGAUGGCAUCAAGUCAAAGAGCAAAUAUCUAGGUUGCGUAUGGAUUGCAAUUUUUUGAAAUUUUUAUAAAAAAUGUACUGAUUUAAUAUAUAUGAAAUAAAAAAAUGAUUGAGAAAUGUUCUUAGAGAUUUUUUUGGUAGGAAAUCCCUUUCCUUCUGAAUGCUAUACCCAAAUUUCACUAUUAUAGUUAGACUAAACACUUGCGUGCUCAAGCAUGCCAUACCCAAAUUUCACGCCAGACUAGGAGAUAGAAAUUCUGCAACAGAGCAGAGCCCUUUUACGUGGGGGCGUCUACCCAACAUUUUAUCAUUUUAAGCACAGCGAGUAAUUCAAAGGCAUAUUAUCAUAUAGAACGGUAAAAACACUCCAAUAAACUAGACAACAAACGACAUGAAAUAGCUGCUUAGGCAAAAGAUGGGCAGGGAGAGGUAGGCAGCGUAUAAGUGAAUUAAAUCACAUACAUAUACAUCACUAACAGAGAAAAUAGCUUAUCCUGGCAUCUCAAUACAGUUUUUGGGCUAGUAUGACCAGUUAUUUAAUUAAAUUUGUCCACUACAUCAUGCCUCAUCUCUGAAGACGUUAUUUCCUUCAGUACCAGGAAGCAGCUGACAGAAAGGCCA
rnacentral:lncRNA from 1 species